rnacentral:lncRNA from 1 species
CAGGAGGUGUUUAUAAAUUUUGGAGAUUAAUCCCUUGUCAGUCGAUUCAUUUGCAAAUAUUUUCUCCCAUUCUGUAGGUUGUCUUUUCGUUUUGUUUAGUGUUAACUUUGCUGUGCAGAAACUCAAGUUUUUUUUUUUUUUUCUUUUUGCCAUUUCUUGGGCUGCUCCCCCGGCAUAUGGAGGUUCCCAGGCUAGGGGUUGAAUCGGAGCCAUAGCUGCUGGCCUACGCCAGAGCCACAGCAACAUGGGAUCCGAGCCGCGUCUGCAACCUACACCACAGCUCAUGGCAACGCUGGAUCCUCAACUCACUGAGCAAGGCCAGGGAUCGAAUCCGAAACCUCAUGGUUCCUAGUCGGAUUCGUUAACCACUGCGCCACGACGGGAACUCCAAACUUUUAAGUUUGAUUAAAUCCAUUUGUUUAUUUUUGUCUUAUUGUCAUUCUCUAGGAGGUGGAUCUGAGCCGAUGUUGCUGUGGUUUAUGUUGGAGAUAGUUUGGCCAUCUCCACGGUGGGUGAACCAAUUUACAUUCCCACCAACAGUGUAAUAGGCUUCCCCUUUCUCCACACCCUCUCCAGCAUUUAUUGUUUGUAGACUUUUUGAUGAUGGCCAUUCUGGCUGGUGUAAGGUGGUACUGCAUAGUAGUUUUAAUUUGCAUUUCUCUAUUAAUUAGUGUACAGAUUCUUUCCUUUUUCAUAGCUUGCUCUCAGGAGUUCUGGUCCAGUCUUGAUUCCUUUUUUUUUUUUCCUCCUCAUCUCCCUCUGUCUCUUUUUCCUUUUGUUCUACCCAGUUAUGUGGAGGGUUUAUUGCCUUUUUGGAGGUUUGAGGUCUUCUGCCAGCAUUCAGUAGAUGUUCUGUGUGAAUCUUCCUACAUGUAGAUUUUUUUUUUAUGUGUUUAUGGAAGAAGGUGCUCAGCAUGUCUUACUCCUCCACUAUUUUGAUCCUUUCCCUCAACUACUUCAAAUUAACUUGCUAGAGCUCAGAAAAUUUUAAACAUGGCAAGAGUUUGUGUUGUAGCUCAGCUAGGUUUGUGGUUAUUUGUGGUAGUUUGACAGGUGUCUGAUCUUGUAUUACAAGGACAUUAGGGUUCAUUAUCCUAAGGCUAACUUACUCUUAGUCUUUGGAUCAUUUUUUUUUUUUCUGAGAUGGAAACUUCCUUUAGGGCAGACAAAAUUAGCCACUAUAGAGCAGAGUUUCCAGUUCCUCUUUUGGCCAGAGGAGUGUAAAGAUAAAUGAAGCCCAUGUGGCUAGGUUGAAGUGCAGGUAGGAGAAUGACAAAUGGCUCUUAUUUUCACUUUUGUCUUCUAAUCUUCCAAAUCUUUGUUCAUGUAGCAAAUACUAGCUCUGGGUGAUUGCACUCACUUCAUUUUUCUUGUCCAACUUUCUUUCUGGCAUGAAAAGCCCAAGUGGUUAUAUAUUCCUAAGAUGUAUGGGCAGUCUAAUUUUCUGAAGAUGUAUUUUGCGUCUUUCCUCUUCACUAUCAAUAUGUGACUUCAGUCUAAUUUUCUCCAAAUUAUAAUAUCUUCAGUAGAAUCUCCACCUGCCCUUUUUCUCAGUUCCUCUUAUCAUGAUAUAGAUCCAAUCAUCAUAAUUCCUGCCUAGAUAGAACAGCAAAAUUCUCUUAACUGAUUUACCUGUAUCCACUCUCAUUAUUUUCCAAAAUCUUUCCCAAAUUUCCACCUUUCUGAUUUUUUUAAUCAUCAAAUAAGUGUAGGUCAUUACCCUAUUAAUAUUUCAAAUGCUUCCCAUUGCCUUUAAAAAGGUAGUUCAGGAAGACAUAAUUCCCUGCACAAUCUGGUACUAGCCUAUCUCUUUAUUUAUUUUAUAAUUUAUUCAACAGAGCUUACAAUAUUAUAUUUAGUGUAUGGAAGUUUUCAGAUAGUAGGAAUAAAUCUUUGUGGUUAUUUCCAAUGAUGACGAUUGGUGCAGCAUUGAAAGAAACAGUCCUGGGAAGCAAAGACUAGCAAAGCUAGUAACAGAAAAGCAGCAGUGUCAAAAACUACCAUGUGUUUUUUUUUUAACUAGAAUUUCUGCAAUUACUAAAGGAUGAUACAUAUUUGAAAUAACGUUUAAAGAAUGAUGAGAAAAAUUCUAGGCUUGUUUUGUAUUGCAAAGGAAGGAAAUGGACUUAAUAUUAUGAACUAUGUAGUAGAAAGGUUAAGCAUGCUUUUGAGAAAUCAGCCUGGAAUAUAAUGCUGUUUUUUCUACUUACCAACUUGGGAGAGUUACCUGACUUCUCUGAGAUUUGAUUUCUUUGGACAAAUGGGUAAUAUUAGUGUAUUCCUUGUUUUUCUUUCUUCUUUUUUUUUUUUUAAGAUUUUUAAAACUUUAUUUCCCAAAUACAUUAUUUUUUUUCCUACUGUACAGCAUGGUGACCCAGUUACACAUACAUGUAUGCAUUCUUUUUUUCUCCCAUUAUCAUGCUCUACCAUAAGUGACUAGAUAUAAAAAAAAAAUAAGUGACUAGAUAUAGUUCCCAGUGCUACACAGCAGGAUCCCAUUGCUAAUCCAUACCAAAGGCAAUAGUCUGCAUCUAUUAACCACAAGCUCCCAAUCCAUCCCACUCCCUCCCCCUCCCCCUUGGCAACUACAAAUCUAUUUUCCAUGUCCAUGGGUUUCUUUUCUGUGGAAAGUUUCAUUUGUGCCAUGUAUUAGAUUCUGGAUAUAAGUGAUAUUGUAUGGUAUUUGUCUUUCUCUUCUCGACUUACUUCCCUCAGUAUGAGAGUCUCUGGUUCCAUCCAUGUUGCUGCAAAUGGCAUUAUUUUGUUCUUUUUUUAUGGCUGAGUAGUAUUCCAUUGUGUACAUAUACCACAUCUUUCUAAUCCAAUCAUCUGUUGAUGGACAUUUGGGUUGUUUCCAUGUCUUGGCUAUUGUGAAUAGAGCUGCAACGAACAUGUGCACGCAUGUGUCUUUUUCAAGGAAAGUUUUGUCUGGAUAUAUGCCCAAGAGUGGGGUUGCUGGGUCAUAUGGUAGUUCUAUGUAUAGUUUUCUAAGGUAUCUCCAUACUGUUCUCCAUAGUGGUUGUAUCAGCUUACAGGAAAAGAAAUGAGAAAAAACUAACUGCAUGGAGACUAAACAACAUGCUACUAAAAAACACAUGGGUUAAUGAGGAAAUCAAGAAGGAAAUUAAAAAAAUACCUCGAGACAAAUGAUAAUGAAGGCACAACCACUCAAAAUCUAUGGGAUGCCUCUAAAGCAGUGCUCAGGGGGAAAUUCAUAGCAAUACAGGCCUUCCUCAAAAAAGAAGAUAAAUCUCAAAUCAACAACCUAACCCAUCACCUAUAUGAAUUAGAAAAAGAAGAACAAACAAAACCUAAAUUCAGCAGAAGGAAGGAAAUCAUAAAACUCUGAUAGGAAAUCAAUAAAAUAGAGAUAAAAAAACAAUAGAAAAAAAUCAAUAAAACCAAGAGCUUGUUUUUUGAAAAGGUAAGCAAAAUUGACAAACCCCUGGCUAGACUCACCAAGAAAAGGGGAGAAAAAACCCAAAUAAAAUAAUAAAUGAAAAAGGCGAAAUCACAACGGAUACUAUGGAAAUACAAAAAACAUGAGAGAAUACUAUGAACAAUUGUAUGCUAACAAAUUUGACAAUCUAGAAGAAAUGGACAGUUUUCUAUAGGCUUACAGCCUACCAAAACUGAAUCAAGAAGAAAUAGAUCAACUGAACAGACUGAUCACUAGAAAGGAAAUUGAAUAUGUCAUAAAAACACUCCCUACAAAUAAGAGUCCAGGACCAGAUGGCAUCACAGGUGAAUUCUGCCAAACAUAAAAAGAGGAACUUAUACCCAUCGUCCUUAAACUUUUUCAAAAGGUUGUAGAAGAAGGAACACUCCCAAAGACAUUCUAUGAUGCCGCCAUCACCCUAAUUCCAAAACCAGACAAAGAUUCUACCAAAAAAGAAAACCAGUAUCUUUGAUGAAUACAGACUCAAAAAUUCUCAACGAAAUUUUAGCCUACUGGGUCCAACAACAUAUCAAAAAGAUCAUACACCACGACCAGGUGGAAUUCAUCCCAGGUGCACAAGGAUGGUUCAACAUACGCAGAUCAAUCAAUGUCAUACAGCACAUUAACAAAAGAAAAGUAAAAAACCACAUGAUUAUCUCAAUAGUGUAUUCCUUAUAAACUCAUUGAGGGAACUUAAUUGAUUCAAGUACAGAGCUUGCCAAAAUAAGCUUUCAGUAAAACUUAGCUAUUGUUGUUGUUAUUGUUAUCAACUGCAUUUGUCUAAAAAUAGAGAAUAGAGCCUUUUGCUAACUUGGUAUAGGUGAUUUAGAUGACAUAAACCAUCAGCUAGCUGCUCCCUAGUUUAUAGGAAAACUCCAACUAUU